UGGGGAAUAUUGGACAAUGGGCGAAAGCCUGAUCCAGCCAUGCCGCGUGUGUGGAGAAGGUCUUCGGAUUGUAAAGCACUUUAAGUUGGGAGGAAGGGCAUUAACCUAAUACGUUAGUGUUUUGACGUUACCGACAGAAUAAGCACCGGCUAACUCUGUGCCAGCAGCCGCGGUAAUACAGAGGGUCCAAGCGUUAAUCGGAAUUACUGGGCGUAAAGCGCGCGUAGGUGGUUUGUUAAGUUGGAUGUGAAAUCCCCGGGCUCAACCUGGGAACUGCAUUCAAAACUGACUGACUAGAGUAUGGUAGAGGGUGGUGGAAUUUCCUGUGUAGCGGUGAAAUGCGUAGAUAUAGGAAGGAACACCAGUGGCGAAGGCGACCACCUGGACUAAUACUGACACUGAGGUGCGAAAGCGUGGGGAGCAAACA
rnacentral:rRNA from 1 species